rnacentral:tRNA from 1 species
GUGUGCAUAAUUUACAUAAAAAUAUUAGAUUGUGAUUCUAAAAACGAGGGUUAACCCCCUCUUCACACC